CCUACGGGAGGCAGCAGUGGGGGAUUUUGGACAAUGGGCGCAAGCCUGAUCCAGCUAUUCCGCGUGUGGGAUGAAGGCCCUCGGGUUGUAAACCCCUUUUGUCAGGGACGAAACAACACCUUUUAAUAAAGGGUUUUGCUGACGGUACUCUAAGAAUCAGCACCGGCUAACUACGUGCGAGCAGCCUCGGUAAUACGUAGGGUGCGAGCGUUAAGCGGAAUUACUGGUCGUAAAUGGGGCGAGGGCGGUUGAGUAAGACAGGUGUGAAAUCCCCGAGCUUAACUCGGGAAUGGCACAUGGGACUGCGCGACUAGAGUGUGUUAGAGGGAGGUGGAAUUCCAGGUGUAGCAGUGAAAUGCGUAGAUAUGUGGAAGAACAUCGAGGGCGAAGGCAGCCUCCUGGGACAUAACUGACGCUCAGGCACGAAAGCGUGGGGAGCAAACAGGAUUAGAUACCCGAGUAGUC
rnacentral:rRNA from 1 species